GACGAACCGUGCGAACGUUGUUCGGAAUCACUGGGCUUAAAGGGCGCGUAGGCGGCUCGCCAGGUCGGGGGUGAAAUCCCUCAGCUUAACUGGGGAACUGCGUCCGAUACUGGAUGGCUUGAGUUUGGGAGAGGGAUGCGGAAUUCCAGGUGUAGCGGUGAAAUGCGUAGAUAUCUGGAGGAACACCGGUGGCGAAGGCGGCAUCCUGGACCAACACUGACACUGAGGAGCGAAAGCCAGGGGAGCAAACGGG
rnacentral:rRNA from 1 species